ACCUGAAACCGUGUACGUACAAGCAGUGGGAGCACAGGUUUACCUGUGUGACUGCGUACCUUUUGUAUAAUGGGUCAGCGACUUAUAUUCUGUAGCAAGGUUAACCGUAUAGGGGAGCCGUAGGGAAACCGAGUCUUAACCGGGCGUUAAGUUGCAGGGUAUAGACCCGAAACCCGGUGAUCUAGCCAUGGGCAGGUUGAAGGUUGGGUAACACUAACUGGAGGACCGAACCGACUAAUGUUGAAAAAUUAGCGGAUGACCUGUGGCUGGGGGUGAAAGGCCAAUCAAACCGGGAGAUAGCUGGUUCUCCCCGAAAGCUAUUUAGGUAGCGCCUCGUGAAUUCAUCUCCGGGGGUAGAGCACUGUUUCGGCUAGGGGGCCAUCCCGGCUUACCAACCCGAUGCAAACUGCGAAUACCGGAGAAUGUUAUCACGGGAGACACACGGCGGGUGCUAACGUCCGUCGUGAAGAGGGAAACAACCCAGACCGCCAGCUAAGGUCCCAAAGUCAUGGUUAAGUGGGAAACGAUGUGGGAAGGCCCAGACAGCCAGGAUGUUGGCUUAGAAGCAGCCAUCAUUUAAAGAAAGCGUAAUAGCUCACUGGUCGAGUCGGCCUGCGCGGAAGAUGUAACGGGGCUAAACCAUGCACCGAAGCUGCGGCAGCGAACGUAUCACCCAAGACAACUUUACGGAGUUGACGAUUGACGGAGCGAAGCGACGUCAAAGCGUUCAUUAAAGUCGAGUUGGCUUAGGGAUACGUUCGUUGGGUAGGGGAGCGUUCUGUAAGCCUGUGAAGGUGUGUCGUGAGGCAUGCUGGAGGUAUCAGAAGUGCGAAUGCUGACAUAAGUAACGAUAAAGCGGGUGAAAAGCCCGCUCGCCGGAAGACCAAGGGUUCCUGUCCAACGUUAAUCGGGGCAGGGUGAGUCGACCCCUAAGGCGAGGCCGAAAGGCGUAGUCGAUGGGAAACGGGUUAAUAUUCCCGUACUUGGUGUUACUGCGAAGGGGGGACGGAGAAGGCUAUGUUGGCCGGGCGACGGUUGUCCCGGUUUAAGCGUGUAGGUGUGUGUUCCAGGUAAAUCCGGUUCACUUUAACACUGAGGCGUGACGACGAGGCACUACGGUGCUGAAGCAACAAAUGCCCUGCUUCCAGGAAAAGCCUCUAAGCAUCAGGUAACAC
rnacentral:rRNA from 1 species